UUCGUUAUUCCUUCCCUCAUAUACAGUACUAGUCCGGCUGCCUGAUUUGGAUAUUCCCCACCCCGAUGAUGCCGACGAAUUCGAGAAUGGCCAAGAAGUUUCUUCAAUCCUAUGGAUAUGAUUUGAUCCUGGGAUCUGUUGCUGCAAUUUAUGUGAUAUUGGCACCAUAUACUAAGGUGGAAGAGAGCUUCAACGUACAGUCAAUGCACGA